rnacentral:rRNA from 1 species
UACGGAGGGUGCAAGCGUUAUCCGGAUUCACUGGGUUUAAAGGGUGCGUAGGUGGGUUGGUAAGUCAGUGGUGAAAUCUCCGAGCUUAACUUGGAAACUGCCAUUGAUACUAUCAGUCUUGAAUAUUGUGGAGGUCAGCGGAAUAUGACAUGUAGCGGUGAAAUGCUUAGAUAUGACAUAGAACACCAAUUGCGAAGGCAGCUGGCUACGCAUAUAUUGACACUGAGGCACGAAAGCGUGGGGAUCAAACAGG